GAUGGCGCUGGCCGAGCAGGCCGCGGCGCUCGGCUGUGAACUGUUCGUGAUGGACGACGGCUGGUUCGGCCGGCGCGUCUCCG
rnacentral:tRNA from 1 species